UGUACGUUCUUAUGGGGUGGGUGGGGGUGAAUAACCAGUGAUCAGUAAGUGUGGCCCUGAUCUAAACAUCUGAUCUUUUCUCUGCCCUUGUCCUCUUCUUCCUCCUCCUCCUCUUCCAACUCUUCCUCCAUGAACUUGUCCUGAGGUACAUCCCAUGUCCCUUAUUUGAUAGGGCCUCGACUCCUCUGUCCUCGACUGAACCGGAAGUUGUUCCGUCCCUUCUCAGUGAAGGCCGUCUCAAAGCUCUUAUUUCUGUCCUGAGGGCCGAGGAGCGAGCUUCGAGGAGGGAACACCUCGGAGAUAUAGCCGAUAUCAGCCUUGCCUGAAGCUGUGCAGAUCUCUGGGUGGGAGGGACUAAGACGCGAGGAAGGGAGGCAAGUGGAGGACUCCAGGAGGCAAUUUAAGCAACAUGAGAUGCAGCUCUGGUUGUCGUCCCCUGCCUCUCCCUCCUACUCCCCUUGCUCUCUGUCUAUUGUCGGCAUCCACUGUUCGAAGCAGGGACUAAGGAACAAACGGAGACGUUCAUACGUCUACGUGUAGGCAGCAAGCAGCUGUUUACCAGGGGGAGGGACACCGCUGCGAACGGAUAUUGGCUUAUUUUGGAGACGAUGGGGAUCGGAGGGAGGGAGGGUCUCCCACGCCCAGGCCAAGAAGAAGUGGGACAACCUAAAAAUAAAGUGGGAGAUAUUUACUUUGGGGGUAUUAAUGUAUGGACAUAAUUGUUAUGCACAUCUUAAUGUAACUUGUGAUUUUUGAAGUAAGCCUUGGAUGUUAACCUGACAGACUUGGGCCUGCUGACAGUAAGUUUAGAUGUAGUGAUGUGUACUAUAGUAGUAGUAAUAUAUCAUCACAACAACCUUUUGAUCUUCACUGUUUAGGAAUGCAAGUGUCCUGCCACAGGUCAGGGGACAGAAGAUGGGAAGGCGCCGGCAGCAACUUGGCCAUGGUUCACCCUCAUGGACGAGGCAUUAGGGCAGUCUGCGGCAGUCACGCCCCCCUGCCUUAUUGCCUCGAUCCAAGAGGACAAACCAGGGCCAAGCACUGCACAAGAGGUA